UGCUUCUUUUAUUCUAACAGAGAGGAGUUACUCCAUAACUUCCUGUCUCUAUGCUAAGCUAGGCUAACACUAACCCGCCCUGGGGCUGUCUCUGUAGCGGGCGCAGAUGUGAGACUGAGGAGGCGUUUCCUUUAAAGGAGCAGAGGAACAGCUGAUUACUCGGAAAUGUUUUCUUUCUUCUGCUGUAUCAGUUUCCAGCGUCACGCUCAUGCCGACACGCCACCGCCACCGCUUCUGUGCACCGUUGGUUUUGCUGUGGGUGCAGAGCUGGUGAGACACGACAUCACGUUGGACCGAAGCUGCUCGGAGCCACAAACACACCCGAAAAGAUCUGAGAGCUCCAGUCGUUGUUGACUGUUGACUCUCACUGAUGCUGAAAAGACUCCAACAUGAAAGCUGAGCCGCCCUCAGCCUGCAUCGCACGCCGAGCGACCCUCUGCUGUCACGUCACAAGCGUUUCCAAAAGCUUUAUCACACUGUAACAUCAUAUUGUGAAAAUUUCAGGCUUAUUUUUGGGUUCAUGUGUUGAACUUGGCCGUGUCUACCUGCACGUCGCUGAUUAAGGCUUUGCUGGGAAAAGAGUCUGGAGCUCAGCCACAGGAGCCAGCAGGGGAGAGAGGAGGGGAAGCUUCACACCCCGCUGCAUUCUGGGAAUAAUGAGCCCUUUUCAGACACGAAUCUGCAACAUUAGUGGCUUCAUGUAUCUGCGUAAGGGACAGAUUACAUCUCUUUACAGCAGCUCAACAUUAUUUAAAGGUUCUGAACUUGUGGCUGAUUUUAUUUGUAUUGUCCUGUUACACCCCACCGCUCCUCUUCUGUCCGCCCCAACAUCCAAACACUCUGUACCAACAGAAUUCAGAAACCAGGAUCAGGAGACAGACAUGACGCAGUAUCCUGCUUUCUAGUAAACGCACUUCCAUCACUCACAGCCAAUCACAUUCAUGCAGGUGUACUGAGUCUAAUCAACACUGUUUACUCUGCAGCUCUCCAGGUGUGCUGUUUCAGCCCGUUCUGUCACGUCCUUCAGCGUCUGGUACAAACGCACACGGCAGCCUCUAGCAUCACAGUUCAACGCUGAAAGAAGCCCUGUUAGAAAUAACAGGAGAGUCAGAGUAAGGAGGUGUUGGGGUGGACGGGUGGGUCAGUAACCAGACUUUCACCCAGGAAACCGGUGUUCGUUUCCCGCGUGAAACAAUCAAACUUUGAUUGUUUUAAUUAUGUAGUCACGUGAGUAAUUAUUAUAGUUAUUUUAACCCAAACCCUUUACCUUUUCCUAAACCUACCUCUGCAAAAACGAUGCUUAAAAAGCGUUAAAAAGAAAUGCAAAGGGCUGUUGCAGAUUACUGAAGCUGAGCUAGAAGCAUGUUUUCUUUUAUUUGUGAAAACGGUCUUUUCAUCCCGACAGCAAUCAAUAAAUCAAAAGCAUCUGUCUGUGGCCGUCAGGACUGCAACGAGCACGGCCUACGUGCUGCACUCAUGGACGUGUGUUUUGGAGGGAGGCCUGCAGGGUGGAGGUUACGUUCAGAUUUUGUCUGUCUCCGCUGGUUCCUCCAGUGUUGCUUUGGCUUUAAUGUUCACGUAUGUUUAUUAAGGAGGGAUUAUCGCUCUCAAUCUCUCUGACUGAACUCUGUUUAAAAGUACAGUUUAAAAUAUCAAAGAGCCAACAGGAAGUCAGCAGUUCAGCCAGAGGAGGACUCAAAUACACUAAUAAUGUACAAUAAUAAUAAUAAUAAUAAGGCUCUGUGGGCAUUAAAACAUGGAAGUCUGACAAUCUGUUUGGAGCAGCUUUCAUUAGAAUGAAUGAAUUUAGUUAUACAACCUUUGCAGCAUGAAAACAACACGUUCAUCUGCAGCAUUCAGCAGCAGCAGCACGUGAGGAGCAAGCUGCCAACGUGUUCAUCCUGAUUAGACCUCACAGGUGUUUUCACUUCAGGUUCAAUCUCAAAACGGUUUGCAGCGUUUUCUGAUUGAACGACAUGUUUCCUUGCAAACGUUGUGCAACAUUCUGCAACGGGCUUCGAGGUAUGUUUUCUCCCGUUUGGUGGGCAUUUUCAGGUGUUACUCAAUCAGAUGCGACAGGUUUGUAAAUACAACGGUGUUAAAAAGGCAGGAAAAUGCAACGCGCUUGCGUCCACAGUCCUGAGUCUAACCAGCCAAAACUAUUGGAAACACCAGUGGCCUGUACUAAGAAGCGGGGUAACUGGCUUAUCCAGGUACCUUCAGGAGUAACUUUGUGACGUCGGGUGUAACUUCCCGAUUAACCUGUACUACAAAAGGUGGACAGGUUUUACCCGAGGUCUGCUGUCAUGGUUUACGCCUGCGUGCAGGUCAUCUUCGUGGUUAACCCGAGGUUAAAUAUUUUUAACUUGUUCCUGAACUCACCCUGCAGCCGAGCUGCGAUUCAGGGAGGAGAUCUGAAUUCAUUAACAGGAUGGUUUCUCAGAUGGAGCCCAUCGAACUGAAUGAUUCUAAAUGUUUUCACAUAUUUAGAUUAAUUUACGUGUCCAGAAAAUACGGAGCCAGGGUGGGGGGGGUAAUCUGAUGAAGGUCUUCUGAAUACGCCCAGUAAAGUCUCUAAAGUCCCAGUGUGUGUAAUAAUCUGGUGGAAUAUGUUCCACUGCAGAGGUGUGUGAUGUUGCAGCUGUGCAAAGUGAAGUGAUCCUUUUAAAUAAAUAUUUAUAUUUUAUAGGUCUCAGUGACUCAGUUUGCUGCACAAAACGUUUUCGCUUACUUUGUUUAACUUUUCAAUUUAAAAUUCAAAUCCUGAAAUAAGUGUGGCUUUUGUUUCUGCUGCUGAAACAUUUGGAGGAAAACUUCAGACUCUCUCUCGGACCUAUGCCGGUAAGAUUUUCAAAAUAAAACUAGUGGUUACCGCUGCAGUUUGGUUAGGUUUAUGCGACCUGCGUCGCAGCCCCCCUGCCGUGACUCCUGCUGCAUGGGUUUUGUAUAUUUUUGUGCUUUGGGAUGUCUGCAGCAGCUUUGUGUCUCUCUCUGCGCUCGGUUUCCCUCUACAUGCUCUGGAGCGAGUUGGUGGGCGUGGCUCCUGUGUUCCCCUGUCAGCACCUUCACACACGUUUUGCACUGGUUUGCAAUGUUUUUCAGAUUGAACGACAUGUUUCCUUGCAACGUUCCGCAACGGGUUUCGAGGUAUGUUUGGUGGGCGAGUCUCAGGUGUCACUCAAUCAGUCCGUGAACACAACAGUGUUAAGAAUGCAGAGAAAUGCAGUGCGCUUGCGUACACAACAGGGCGUUCAACAAACCACCCUUUCCGACGUUUUGUCGGCGCUGAACUCGCCCCUGGCCCGACUCGCCACUCUGCCCGCCUGCUCGUCAUCCUGCCCAUCAGCCUCCUUACCAGCCUUCCAGUCUCUGCGUUGUAUCAGAGUGUGAAUGCACGCCAGCCAACCAGUCAACCAGAGACGGAUGUUGGAAGUUUGAGAGUUUGCCUGCCUGGCAGUUGUGUCAUCGCUAAUCUGUUUAUCUCCAGGAUUCACCACCUGACCACCAGCCAACCCCUGAACUCCCCGAACCACUUGUUAUGAUUGGACGCCCCCUCUCCUGCCAACACCGAGCGACCCACAUUCCCGAACACCUGCCCCCACUCACCUGCAGCUGCUCUGCCUCUCUUGUUCCCUUGUUAUUAUUUAAUAAAAGAUCUCCGUUUCAUCCUGACACCAAAACUACUUGGAUGAAAGUCCGGUUUCUGACCCAUCCAUCCAACCUUCUACUCAGGCUUUUCUGUUCCUUAUACUCGGCCUAUUUUAAAGUUAAAGGCCAGACGUCGACGGACGUGACAAAGCUUAGCUAUUAGACGCCCUAGGAUUAAGAAGCUGCUGGUUGUUUCUUGCUAAAUUCUUUUAUUGUGAAGCAAUUUGGAACUUUUCUUUUACGUUUUGAAAAAUCCUAACUCAUUUGUCUCCUGAUGCGCAAAGGAGCAGACACUUUCUGUGCUUGUGUCUUCUGUCAGUGUGUCCUCAACAGAACACGCUGAUUUAUAACCUGUGUGUCUGUGAUGCUGUGAUUUAGAUUUACUUGUGGAGACGUGUGAAUCACAGAUCUGUUAGAGCUGCAGGACAAAAUCCGUAAAACGAAGCCUCUGAGUGAAGUCGAGUGUUGAUCUUCAGAGAGUUACUGAGCCACAGGAGGAGUGUUGUUUUACGGCGAUAUGAAAGUGUGUGAAGCUGGAGGUGAGACGCUGACAGACCCGGAGAGGCCUUGAGCUCCUGCAGCUGCCGAGCGUCCACGCAGACACAGAGACAUGGAGCUGAUUAAAGCUUCUUCAGGAUCACUUUACACUCCCGGUGGUUUCACACGCUGAUGCAUUUCUCCUCGCCGCAGGGACGCUCGCAUUUAUCUGGCUGGAGGGAAAAACCUGCAGAAUGUAUACGGGACAGGAUUCAAACUUGCUGGGAAAUGAAAGCUUGUUUCUGGAAGUACACUUUUGUGUUUUUGUUGAACGAACUGAAUGAAGAUCAGAUGGUGUAACAGAAGUGGGCGGGAAGAAGGCUGACAUCAUUGUUAGCGUUGUUACUGCUCCGCCCGGCGAGCACGCUGAGUGAAACAAAUCAAACACACCUGACCAACUGGUGCAUGCUGGGUCUGACCAACCUUCACCUCCGUCUUUUCUUU